rnacentral:rRNA from 1 species
UAAUACGGGAGGCAGCAGUAGGGAAUCUUCCGCAAUGGACGAAAGUCUGACGGAGCAACGCCGCGUGAACGAUGAAGGCCUUCGGGUCGUAAAGUUCUGUUGUUAGGGAAGAACAAGUACCAGAGUAACUGCUGGUACCUUGACGGUACCUAACCAGAAAGCCACGGCUAACUACGUGCCAGCAGCCGCGGUAAUACGUAGGUGGCAAGCGUUGUCCGGAAUUAUUGGGCGUAAAGCGCGCGCAGGUGGUUUCUUAAGUCUGAUGUGAAAGCCCACGGCUCAACCGUGGAGGGUCAUUGGAAACUGGGGAACUUGAGUGCAGAAGAGGAAAGUGGAAUUCCAAGUGUAACGGUGAAAUGCGUAGAGAUUUGGAGGAACACCAGUGGCGAAAGCGACUUUCUGGUCUGUAACUGACACUGAGGCGCGAAAGCGUGGGGAGCGAACAGGAUUAGAUACCCUGGUAAUCCACGCCGUAAACGAUGAGUGCUAAGUGUUAGAGGGUUUCCGCCCUUUAGUGCUGCAGCAAACGCAUUAAGCACUCC